rnacentral:rRNA from 1 species
AUUGAACGCUGGCGGCAGGCCUAACACAUGCAAGUCGAGCGGAGCGGCGGACGGGUGAGUAAUGCCUAGGACUCUGCCUGGGCGUGGGGGAUAACGUCCGGAAACGGGCGCUAAUACCGCAUACUCACAGAUGAGCCUAGGUCGGAUUAGGUAGUUGGUGGGGUAAAGGCCUACCAAGGCGACGAUCCGUAACUGGUCUGAGAGGAUGAUCAGUCACACUGGAACGUAGACACGGUCCAGACUCCUACGGGAGGCAGCAGUGGGAAAUAUUGGACAAUGGGCGAGAGCCUGAUCCAGCCAUGCCGCGUGUGUGAAGAAGGUCUUCGGAUUGUAAAGCACUUUAAGUUGGGAGGCGUUACCAACAGAAUAAGCACCGGCUAACUUCGUGCCAGCAGCCGCGGUAAUUC